rnacentral:rRNA from 1 species
UACGUAGGUGGCAAGCGUUGUCCGGAUUUACUGGGCGUAAAGAGCGCGCAGGCGGUCGAUUUAGUCGCGUGUGAAAGCCCCCGGCUCAACUGGGGAGGGUCACGCGAUACUGAUCGACUCGAAGGCAGGAGAGGGUAGUGGAAUUCCCGGUGUAGUGGUGAAAUGCGUAGAUAUCGGGAGGAACACCAGUGGCGAAGGCGGCUCACUGGUCCGGUACUGACGCUGAGGUGCGAAAGCGUGGGGAGCAAACAGG